rnacentral:rRNA from 1 species
UAAUACAGAGGGUGCGAGCGUUGUCCGGAAUCACUGGGCGUAAAGGGCGCGUAGGUGGCGCGGUAAGCGUGCGGUGAAAGCUCGGGGCUCAACCCCGAGUCGGCCGUGCGAACUGCCGGGCUGGAGCACUGUAGAGGCGGGUGGAAUUCCGGGUGUAGCGGUGGAAUGCGUAGAGAUCCGGAAGAACACCGGUGGCGAAGGCGGCCCGCUGGGCAGUUGCUGACACUGAGGCGCGACAGCGUGGGGAGCAAACAGGAUUAGAUACCCUGGUAGUCCACGCCGUAAACGAUGGGCACUAGGUGCUUGGGGGAGCGACCCCCUGAGUGCCGGCGCUAACGCAUUAAGUGCCCCGCCUGGGGAGUACGACCGCAAGGUUG